rnacentral:rRNA from 1 species
CCUACGGGAGGCAGCAGUGAGGAAUAUUGGGCAAUGGGCGGACGCCUGAACCAGCCAAGUCGCGGGAGGGAAGACGGCCCUAGGGGUGGUAAACCUCUUUUGUCAGGGAGUAAGUGGCGCUACGUGUAGCGUUAUCGAGAGGACCUGAAGAAAAAGCAGCGGCGAACUCCGUGCCAGCAGCCGAGGUAAUACGGAGGAUGCGAGCGUUAUCCGGAUUUAUUGGGUUUAAAGGGUGCGUAGGCGGAAUGCCAAGUCAGCGGUAAAAUCGCGGGGCUCAACCUCGAUCCGCCGUUGAAACUGGCGUUCUUGAGUGGGCGAGAGGUCUGCGGAAUGCGUGGUGUAGCGGUGAUAUGCCUAGAUAUCACGCAGAACUCCGAUUGCGAAGGC